rnacentral:rRNA from 1 species
UACGGAGGGUGCAAGCGUUAUCCGGAUUCACUGGGUUUAAAGGGUGCGUAGGUGGGCAGGUAAGUCAGUGGUGAAAUCUCCGGGCUUAACUCGGAAACUGCCAUUGAUACUAUCUUUCUUGAAUACCGUGGAGGUCAGCGGAAUAUGUCAUGUAGCGGUGAAAUGCUUAGAUAUGACAUAGAACACCAAUUGCGAAGGCAGCUGGCUACGCAUAUAUUGACACUGAGGCACGAAAGCGUGGGGAUCAAACAGG